UACAAAAAGUGGAAAAAAUAGGUUUUCGGUUAUGGCGGCUGCAGCUAGGAUUUGUACUGCUGGAAAUGUUAAAAAAAUAUUAGUAGAAAUCAGAUAGAGAAACGAGGCUUUGGAAGAGACUCUUUCUGUAUGUCUCUGAGAAUACUCAAGGGUUUUUAAUUUCCUCAAAAGAUGUAACAGAACCCAGAAACCCUAGCUAGAAUUCCUGCCAAACCCCCCUAGACAUUAACUGAAAAAUGUUUUUCUUUGUCAUUUAAUAACAAGAAACACAAUAUCACCUGAACAUCUUGCCAUGAAAGUG
rnacentral:misc_RNA from 1 species